rnacentral:tRNA from 1 species
UAGCUUAAUGGAAAAGCGUCUGAUAUGUAUUCAGACGACGUGGGUUCGAUUCCCCC